AACGAACGCUGGCGGCAGGCCUAACACAUGCAAGUCGAACGCCGUAGCAAUACGGAGUGGCAGACGGGUGAGUAACACGUGGGAACGUACCCUUCGGUUCGGAAUAACUCAGGGAAACUUGAGCUAAUACCGGAUACGUCCGAGAGGAGAAAGAUUUAUCGCCGAGGGAUCGGCCCGCGUCUGAUUAGCUUGUUGGUGAGGUAACGGCUCACCAAGGCGACGAUCAGUAGCUGGUCNGAGAGGAUGAUCA
rnacentral:rRNA from 1 species